AUUGAACGCUGGCGGCAGGCCUAACACAUGCAAGUCGAGCGGAUGAAGGGAGCUUGCUCCUGGAUUCAGCGGCGGACGGGUGAGUAAUGCCUAGGAAUCUGCCUGGUAGUGGGGGAUAACGUCCGGAAACGGGCGCUAAUACCGCAUACGUCCUGAGGGAGAAAGUGGGGGAUCUUCGGACCUCACGCUAUCAGAUGAGCCUAGGUCGGAUUAGCUAGUUGGUGGGGUAAAGGCCUACCAAGGCGACGAUCCGUAACUGGUCUGAGAGGAUGAUCAGUCACACUGGAACUGAGACACGGUCCAGUCUCCUACGGGAGGCAGCAGUGGGGAAUAUUGGACAAUGGGCGAAAGCCUGAUCCAGCCAUGCCGAGUGUGUGAAGAAGGUCUUGGGAUUGUAAAGAACUUUAAGUUGGGAGGAAGGGCAGUAAGUUAAUACCUUGCUGUUUUGACGUUAACAACAGAAUAAGCACCGGCUAACUUCGUG
rnacentral:rRNA from 1 species